rnacentral:rRNA from 1 species
AUUGAACGCUGGCGGCAGGCCUAACACAUGCAAGUCGAGCGAGCGGCGGACGGGUGAGUAAUGUAUGGGGACUGCCCGAUAGAGGGGGAUAACUACUGGAAACGGUAGCUAAUACCGCAUACUAUCGGAUAACCCAUAUGGGAUUAGCUAGUAGGUGAGGUAAUGGCUCACCUAGGCGACGAUCCCUAGCUGGUCUGAGAGGAUGAUCAGCCACACGGGGACUGAGACCCGGCCUAGAAGCCGAGGGAGGCAGCAGUGGGGAAUAGUGCAAAAUGGGCGAAAGCCUGAUGCAGCCAUGCCGCGUGUAUGAAGAAGGCCCUAGGGUUGUAAAGUACUUUCAGUCGGGAGGCGUUACCGACAGAAGAAGCACCGGCUAACUCCGUGACAGCAGCCGCGGUAAA